UACGAAGGUGUCAAACGUUGUCCGGAAUUACUGGGCGUAAAGGGCGCGUAGGCGGCAAGUUAAGUCAGAUGUGAAAGUCCAGGGCUCAACCCUGAAAUUGCAUCUGAUACUGGCUAGCUUGAGUUCGGUAGAGGAGGGCGGAAUUCCUGGUGUAGCGGUGAAAUGCGUAGAUAUCAGGAGGAACACCUGUGGCGAAGGCGGCUCUCUGGUCCGAUACUGACGCUGAGGCGCGAAAGCUAGGGUAGCAAACAGG
rnacentral:rRNA from 1 species